rnacentral:rRNA from 1 species
UACGGGGGGGGCAAGCGUUGUUCGGACUUACUGGGCGUAAAGGGCUUGUAGGUGGCCAACUAAGUCAGACGUGAAAUCCCCCGGCUUAACCGGGGAACUGCGUCUGAUACUGGAUGGCUAGAGAUUGGGAGAGGGACGCGGAAUUCCUGGUGUAGCGGUGAAAUGCGUAGAUAUCUGGAGGAACACCGGUGGCGAAGGCGGCAUCCUGGACCAACACUGACACUGAUGAGCGAAAGCCAGGGGAGCAAACGGG